rnacentral:rRNA from 1 species
AAAUUGAAGAGUUUGAUCAUGGCUCAGAUUGAACGCUGGCGGCAGGCCUAACACAUGCAAGUCGAACGGUAACAGGAAGCAGCUUGCUGCUUUGCUGACGAGUGGCGGACGGGUGAGUAAUGUCUGGGAAACUGCCUGAUGGAGGGGGAUAACUACUGGAAACGGUAGCUAAUACCGCAUAACGUCGCAAGACCAAAGAGGGGGACCUUCGGGCCUCUUGCCAUCGGAUGUGCCCAGAUGGGAU